CCGGACACCGCGCAUAACGGUAGCUUUAGUGCACCGGGCUGCCUUUUUUUUGUAUGAGCGCUUGAGUCGUGCGUGUAGUUUUUUUUUUCAAAAUAUGAGACGAAAGUUGUUUAAUAAUAGAAACACUUUAUCAUAUGUUCAGAGGCUCCACCAAGUCCAACAUUUGAAUUGUGGUUGUUGUACAUUAGUUGUCUUUACUUCAAAACAACUGGCAUUUCUUUCUCAAAACUCCUGCAUAAGAAAGCAGGGAUGGUAAUCCAGCUCACUGUCUAUGGAAAAUAGUUUCUGUAUCUCCGAGGGGUACGAUUUGCAUACACUCGACCCUCCCUAAACCCCACUUGGCGGGACUAAGCGAGGAUUACACUAGGGCAGGGCAGAGAAAUCUGCAAAGUUUAUCAAACUUCAGGACAAAGAUAUGGUUGAGUUUGCAGAAGAGAGGGAAAAUCUGACAAGAGCUCAUGAAGAGAGAAGACAGACUCUGGGAAGAGGCGAUUGCCCUUGACAAGAAAUAUGACCUCGAGCUGGUUAAGCUGAUAGAGAAGUACUCGCUGAAGCAAUCUGAGCAGGAAGGACAGAAGUAGCCAAAAGAAGGUCAAGAUCCCAUCAUUCAUCAAAAACUUCAACAAAAAGCUCAAAACAAGAAUUUAAGGACAUAGUAGAUGAGAGAUUAGGUGAAGAAAAUCUUUGCAAAACACAAAGAGGAGGAAGAGGAGAAUGAAAUGGUAGACAAGAACUACAACCAAGAGUAAAAAGUGGUAGCAAUAACAAAGGAAACUAAAAGGACUUUCAUUUUGAUCCUCUAUGUUUACCAACAUGUUUUGUGCUUCUGUGUUUAAUAUCAACAACAUUUUGUGUAAGCUUUUAACAACAAGAAUCUUGAUUGACAAUGAUGUUUGUUGAUAAAGUGGUUGUGGGAUUUGAAGAGUGAGUUUGUUAGAGAUGAUGUAGGAAGUGACAUUGUAAGAGUUAAUGAAUGAGUUGACCAUAUUUUUGGUUGUGUACUUUGUGUAGAUAAAAUUAUUUUGGUUUAAAUAAGUCAAUCAAUUUUUUUUUGGG